AAGUCGUAACAAGGUAACCGUAGGUGAACCUGCGGUUGGAUCAUUACUGAAGUGUGAUCGUUCGUUCCUACGUUCGUUCCCACCCUUUGUGAACCGUUGCUGUCCCUGGCGGCGGGGUGCGAGUGGACGUUGCGCUUAGGCGUGGUGUCCCCGGACCUGUCAGCUCGUUGGGUUGUCCCCUUGGGGCCGGCCUGGCUUGCCGUGGACAAACCGCCAACCGUGUCUUAAACUUGGUAUUUUGAAAUUUUGCUGUCUUAAUGUACACCAACAAUACCUUAACAACUUUUGGCAACGGAUCUCUUGGCUCUC
rnacentral:misc_RNA from 1 species